rnacentral:rRNA from 1 species
GGGGGAACCUGAUCUGCCAUGCCGCGUGUGUGAAGAAGGCCUUAUGGUUGUAAAGCACUUUAAGCGAGGAGGAGGCUCUUUUGGUUAUACCCAAGAUGAGUGGACGUUACUCGCAGAAUAAGCACCGGCUAACUCUGUGCCAGCAGCCGCGGUAAUACAGAGGGUGCGAGCGUUAAUCGGAUUUACUGGGCGUAAAGCGUGCGUAGGCGGCUUUUUAAGUCGGAUGUGAAAUCCCCGAGCUUAACUUGGGAAUUGCAUUCGAUACUGGGGAGCUAGAGUAUGGGAGAGGAUGGUAGAAUUCCAGGUGUAGCGGUGAAAUGCGUAGAGAUCUGGAGGAAUACCGAUGGCGAAGGCAGCCAUCUGGCCUAAUACUGACGCUGAGGUACGAAAGCAUGGGGAGCAAACAGGAUUAGAUACCCUGGUAGUCCAUGCCGUAAACGAUGUCUACUAGCCGUUGGGGUCUUUGAGACUUUAGUGGCGCAGCUAACGCGAUAAGUAGACCGCCUGGGGAGUACGGUCGCAAGACUAAAACUCAAAUGAAUUGACGGGGGCCCGCACAAGCGGUGGAGCAUGUGGUUUAAUUCGAUGCAACGCGAAGAACCUUACCUGGUCUUGACAUAGUAAGAACUUUCCAGAGAUGGAUUGGUGCCUUCGGGAACUUACAUACAGGUGCUGCAUGGCUGUCGUCA